rnacentral:misc_RNA from 1 species
UUAACUAUUAUAUAGUACUCAGACAUCACUAUAACAAAAGAGUUUGGGUUCUCUGGCGAGCACGAUCGACCGAAGCCGAGCCAGAAGGCGACUCGCCAAAGCAACAAUGGUAGUAAACACGGGUAUAGCUGCAACCUGAAGUCCGAGUUGCCUCGAACACCGUACAGCUACGGCAAGCCGUAGACAUACGUGAUCAAAACGGCCAGAGGUCGUUGAAUUGCUAAUGAUCCUUCCGCAGGUUCACCUACGGAAA